rnacentral:tRNA from 2 species
AUCUUUCUAGUAUUAAAGAAAGUAUAAGUGACUUCCAAUCACCUGGUCUUGGUUUAAACCCAAGGAAAGAUA